UGAGGAGGAUCAUAAUAUAAUGAAGAAGUGCUCAGAUCACCACUUAAAAAUAAAAUAAGGAGAUAUCUUCAUGACUCUUGAGUAAACAAAGACAUUAAAUAAGACAUUUUUAAAAAUCGUCCCUAAAGGAAAAGAUUAAUGAAUUGGAAAAGUGAAGAAUUUGUGUACAUUGUGAAAAAGCAUGUCAUCAAAAGGCAGAAAAAUAUUUACAAUGAUGUAUCUGAUUAAAAAAUUUUUAUCUAGGUUUUGUUUCUUUUUUCUCCUCCGAUUUUUCUACAAUGAACAUUUUUAACAAUUAAAAGAUCCAGUUUAUUAUUAAGCAGAAUAUUUUAUUUAUGUGAGGUCAUAAUUGUUUUCUGUGAACUCCCGAGGGAACUGUUACAGGUUGCUCAGCAAUGAAAUCAGAGCUCAGGAAGCUCCAAGUUGGGGCCUGGCAGAAGUGACACUGCUGGGCCAGAACAGGGCAACAAGUGAUCCAAGCAAUGUCCAUAAGGGCAGGCCAGGCGCUCAUUUCCGAAGUGGUCAGUGUACAAGUCUGAUGGGGAGGCAUGGGCACAGAGUGCGGGUGGGCACAUGUGGA
rnacentral:lncRNA from 1 species